rnacentral:misc_RNA from 1 species
UUUAUUUGUCUCAAAUGAAACACAUUCCAACUAGAAACUCGACCAAGAACGCCGUUAUCAAACUUAUAAAACGUUGGUUGUCAAAAGGUUCGAACUACUACGUGAGCUUGCUGUGUAAAGGAAUGUAUGGUUAUGAAUAUUUAUUGAAAGAAGUUGCUAUGGCUUUGAACACAAAGAUACAUGUGAGUGCAGAGAGGCUGUCGUUGUAUAAGAAUCUACCAGACAUGAUAAAGCAUUUCACGAUCAAAGCAGAAGACACAAGGAUUCAUUGUUGUAAUUGGCAGCAUAUAAGGAAUGUUAAUUCAAAGCUUCCAUGUGGAUAUUCACUACCUGCGCCUGUCAAAGUUAAUGUUAUUAAGAUUAAAGCUACCAGUAUGUUUUUUGCUCGGCGUACUAUCCUUUACCUGGUGAUGGCAUCUUUCAAGUAGAUAAAGAUUUCUUUCGGGUGGUACAUUCCAUGCACGCUUCAAUGGAAGAGAUAAUAGAUUUAGUGAGUUAUCUUCGUCCGUUGAAUGUAUAUCCUACAGUGGAACCAGCUGGAAUUCACUCAUUAAAGGACACCCAAGAAAGCUUGCAACAGUAUACUCGAUGUGAAGUUAAAAUGAACAAGACGAUAAAAAACACCCCGACAUCUCGAGAUGCCGAUGAAGAGAACCCAACUUCAUUCAAAGAACAAAAAUCAUCUGUGUUUUCCGGUGCAUCUCUCUUGCGUUACACCCCAAGCGUUGAAGUAUUAGCAGAAUGUAGACAGUUGGGGCUGGAGAACGAAAAUUUUAUGGGAUUGUCACGUCGAAGAAAACGUAGAAAUAAUCAAUCACCAAACGGGAGAGCAUCCUGUGAAAUAAAGAACGUGUGUACAGACUCCACUGAAGUUCCCCAUGAAAAAUGUCGCAUUGUUGACAGCUAGCGCUUCAAAGAUAAAUUGGAGAACCCCUCUACAUCCUAAACGUAUGGAGGUCGGAUCUUUUUGCACUAUAUUGUGCUUUUUACUGAAAUAUUGUUAUAUAGUAUUAAUAUAUAAAUAACUAUUUUAAAAAUGAU